UACGAAGGGGGCUAGCGUUGCUCGGAAUCACUGGGCGUAAAGCGCACGUAGGCGGCUUUCUAAGUCAGGGGUGAAAUCCUGGAGCUCAACUCCAGAACUGCCUUUGAUACUGGAAAGCUUGAGUUCGGGAGAGGUGAGUGGAACUGCGAGUGUAGAGGUGAAAUUCGUAGAUAUUCGGAAGAACACCAGUGGCGAAGGCGACUCGCUGGACAGACAUUGACGCUGAGGUGCGAAAGCGUGGGGAGCAAACAGG
rnacentral:rRNA from 1 species